rnacentral:rRNA from 1 species
GUCCACGCCCUAAACGAUGUCUACUAGUUGUCGGGUUUUAAUUAACUUGGUAACGCAGCUAACGCGUGAAGUAGACCGCCUGGGGAGUACGGUCGCAAGAUUAAAACUCAAAGGAAUUGACGGGGACCCGCACAAGCGGUGGAUGAUGUGGAUUAAUUCGAUGCAACGCGAAAACCUUACCUACCCUUGACAUGUACGGAAGCCACGAGAGAUCGAGGUGUGCUCGAAAGAGAGCCGUAACACAGGUGCUGCAUGGCUGUCGU